AAGACCAAACGAAUUCAAAGGAUCUCCUGAAGAAGUUCAAGUCAAUUCUCUACUAUCAUUGUGCAAUAGGUUAAAACUCCGUUUGGUUGGCAAAUUAAAAUGAAUCUACUACACGGUUUGUUUUCGGUGCUAUUUAUCGUUGAAUUUUCGGAACUUCAAGGAAAACAUGGCUUUUUCUCGCAAGCUCUUCUUAAGGGCGAAGUGAUUGAAAACAUGUCACAGGCAAAGCUUGUAGCUGGAAUCCAUAUCCCCGCAAGUGAGUCUGCUUUAGAAUCAUUUUCAUUUUUUGUGUGUGAAUUUUUGUCCGAAAAAUUCGCAUAUUCUAUCAAUUUUGCUAGGGGCUGACCACGCUUCAGUUAAUUGAAAAUAAUGCUAGAUUUUAUAAUUUUUUU